rnacentral:ncRNA from 1 species
UUAAAGAUUAUGAUGAGGAAGAGUAAAUAAAUUACUAUUUUAAGAGAGAGAAAUCCAACGGCUGAAAGGUUUCUUAAAUAAGUUCUAUUGAAAACCACCUCGAAGUUGAUUAUUGAAGUCUGGAUAUUAUAAAAUAUCUUAGUAGAUAAUUCCGUUUGCCAGCGUUAAUGGUAUUUGAGUGGCAGAAGUUAAUUAAAAAUCAUUCUUCUGUAAUUUGGGUGGAAUCACGAGUUUAAUCGUCCCUUAG